AGACAUUAAACAGCGUAUCAUUACGUAGACAACAGUUGCACAACUGUAUGCGUAAAAGGAUGGCAUAGACGCAUCAACGCACGAGCGUGUUCAGCCAACCUCGGGCUUUACAAGUUGGCCAACCUUCUCAGAGAGGAAUCUGAGACUGUUGAUCUUCAUAUACGGCUGGUGAGCCAGCACCUUCUCACGAAGAUCAGGCGGAAGAAGUAUGUUACGAUACACGGCAGACUGCAUCAAGCAUGGGAUGACUACGAAGAAGAGAAGCUGACAACAACUGAACUUCUGAGGAUCAUCAGCCACAUCAAUGCCCUCGGACCAUCCACAGCGGUCCACCACAUGCUCGACGACGACGAGGCUUGAAAGAUGAACGACUGAUAUGGUUGAAAUGUAACAUUAAAUUGAACAGUGUCGUACAUGUAUCUAAUUUGUAUUAGAAAAUCUGAAUGAUAAAAAUGUGUGAUAAAAAUGUAAAAAUAUUGUAGUGCGUCAAAAAUGUAUCUAAUUAAUAUGUGCUUACUCCCUCAUUUUUUUUAAAUGACAUGAAAUAUUCAAAUAUAUAUAUAUAGUAUCCAAGGUUUAGUUGUUGCUUAUUUAUAUUAUAUGGUAAAUAAAACGGAUUACAAAGUA